AUUCAACUGACGAGUUCCAAAUAGGAUGAAGUACACGUCCUGGAU
rnacentral:hammerhead_ribozyme from 1 species